rnacentral:lncRNA from 1 species
AAAAAUCCAAGACAGCUAAUCCGCUGAGCGAGCACUGAACGGAUUUAUUCCAAAGAGUGAUGCAAGCUGCAACCAAAUUCCGCUAAGUGGGUAUGCGGUAUUAAGGAAUUAACUUGGUUCAGAAUUAUGGAACAUUAAAGGCUUAGUGUAUGACUAUAUGUGUAAAGCAAGAAGUGUAGAUUAGUAUUCAAGCACUGUUCAGUCCCGAC